rnacentral:tmRNA from 1 species
GGGGUUGUACUGGUUUCGACGGGGGUUUUGAAGUUAGAGAAGCCAUUCGUGGACCAGAUCCACGUAAAAAGCUGGAAAUUAAAUAUAAACGCUAACGAAGAAAGUUACGCUUACGCUGCCUAGUGGCAGCUGUCGCGCCUGAAUUUCCCGCGAUUCAGUCACGCGGCAUCAAAGGAUGCGGGGACCUUUGCUGUCAAAGCUUUGAGACAGUAAAAGAAUCAUGAAGCUACUGAGUCUUUUUCCCUGUUGACCGGGAAGAGGACGAGGGAAUGAAUAAAGAUCAACUGUAAUGGGAGAAACUUUAAUGGAUGGGCUUUCGGACAGGGGUUCGAUUCCCCUCAGCUCCAU